rnacentral:rRNA from 1 species
CACGGACCUUUCCCAAAAAGGGUAUGCGGAAGGAUCAUUACCGAGUGCGGGUCUUUAUGGCCCAACCUCCCACCCGUGACUAUUGUACCUUGUUGCUUCGGCGGGCCCGCCAGCGUUGCUGGCCGCCGGGGGGCGACUCGCCCCCGGGCCCGUGCCCGCCGGAGACCCCAACAUGAACCCUGUUCUGAAAGCUUGCAGUCUGAGUGUGAUUCUUUGCAAUCAGUUAAAACUUUCAACAAUGGAUCUCUUGGUUCCGGCAUCGAUGAAGAACGCAGCGAAAUGCGAUAACUAAUGUGAAUUGCAGAAUUCAGUGAAUCAUCGAGUCUUUGAACGCACAUUGCGCCCCCUGGUAUUCCGGGGGGCAUGCCUGUCCGAGCGUCAUUGCUGCCCUCAAGCCCGGCUUGUGUGUUGGGCCCUCGUCCCCCGGCUCCCGGGGGACGGGCCCGAAAGGCAGCGGCGGCACCGCGUCCGGUCCUCGAGCGUAUGGGGCUUCGUCUUCCGCUCCGUAGGCCCGGCCGGCGCCCGCCGACGCAUUUAUUUGCAACUUGUUUUUUUCCAGGUUGACCUCGGAUCAGGUAGGGAUACCCGCUGAACUUAAGCAUAUCAAUAAGCCGGAGGAAUACCGAGUGCGGGUCUUUAUGGCCCAACCUCCCACCCGUGACUAUGUACCUUGUUGCUUCGGCGGGCCCGCCCGCGUUGCUGGCCGCCGGGGGGCGACUCGCCGCGGCGCGCCCCCGGAGACCAACAUGAACCUGUUCUGAAAGCUUGCGAUCUGAGAUGUGAUAUCUUUGCCAUUCAGCUUAAAACUUUUCACAAAUGGGAUCUUCUUGGGUUUCGGCAUCCAUAAGAACGCAGCGCACUGCGAUACUAAUGUGAUUGCAGAGUUCAGUGAUCAUCGAGUCUUUGACGCCAUGCGCCCUGGGUAUCGGGGGCAUGCUGUCCAGCGUCAUUGCUGCCUCAGCGGCUGGUGUGAUAGGCUGUCGAUCAGGUACGUAAUGACGGACCGUCGGUCAGAUAGAUCGUUCGUCUAGCCGAGCCGACAAUUUGACAGCUUCGUACUUGCAGGUACGCAUAGCCCUAUUGGGAUACC